GUCAACUUUAUGGGUUACAUGCCAAUGACUGCUAUUAAUAUUAUUAUAAAGUUGAGAACAGAAGCCUCCCCAAAUGGAGAAGCACUGUUUGUUUAUUUCUUUAACAUGAGAAGAAGCUUCUGCUUGGCAGCAGAUCGGGAUACAUUACUAAGUUGAAACGAAAAUUUUAAAGCAACAACACGACGCCGUAAUGACUUUUAUAUUCCUUGCUCAUUUUCGUCCUAAUCAGUUGUUCACACAAUUGAGAGAUGGGAGAUGGCACAGGGAUGGAAGGCGGGCAGCGAUGGCCAAAGUGUUGCAGAGGCAGUCAUUCUGAACCGACUGGAGCGCGUUACAACAUUCAGUACUAGGGUUGCCGUGGGCACCAGGCACCACAAAUGGUGCACAUACAUUCAGGGUGUUCAGCUGGCUUGGGCAGCUCUGCGACUCACCCAGGUGGGUCAGCGCCGAAACUGCUAUGAACAGGACAAGCACUGCUGCUUGCGACCUCACAGAGACAGAGAUCAGGGACUUGAGAGCUGCCAUUUCCGAUCAGUUUUG
rnacentral:misc_RNA from 1 species